rnacentral:misc_RNA from 1 species
UUCCAAACAUUGUAGCUCCUCUAUUAGCAUAUUAUCUUCCCUCAAUAUAUUAUCUUCCCCUUCUUGGACCGCAAAAACACCAACGUCGACCAUUUCCAAAACUUGCAAUGAUGAUAAACUAGAUAUGACUCCCCUUGGAAUCAUAUUUAGAUCGAGGGCAUCCUCCAAGUUCAGAUAUUUCAGAUUUACCAACAUUUUCAACUCAACUGGCAAUUGCCUUAUCAGCGUCCCUGACAGAUUAAGAUAUUGCAAUGAGUUCAAUUUUGAUAUUCCCAUCGGCAAUUCCCUUAUACAAGUGCCUGAGAGGUCCAGAACAUU